UACAGAGGGGGCAAGCGUUGUUCGGAAUUACUGGGCGUAAAGGGCGCGUAGGCGGCCUUCUAAGUCGAACGUGAAAUCCCCGGGCUCAACCCGGGAACUGCGUCCGAUACUGGAAGGCUUGAAUCCGGGAGAGGGAUGUGGAAUUCCAGGUGUAGCGGUGAAAUGCGUAGAUAUCUGGAGGAACACCGGUGGCGAAGGUGGGUCUCUGGGCAACAACUGACGCUGAGGAGCGAAAGCGUGGGGAGCGAACAGG
rnacentral:rRNA from 1 species